rnacentral:misc_RNA from 1 species
AACUUUUGACAACGGAUCUCUUGGCUCUCCCAUCGAUGAAGAACGCGGCGAAAUGCGAUAAGUAAUGUGAAUUGCAGAAUUCAGUGAAUCAUCGAAUCUCUGAACGCACCUUGCGCCCUUUGGUAUUCCGAAGGGCAUGCCUGUUUGAGUGUCAUUAAAUUAUCAACCCAAAAGCUUUGUUAUGAGGCUUCUGUGGCUUGGAUGUGGGGGUGUUGCUGGCUUCCUUCAGUGGAUGGUCUGCUCCCCUUAAAUGCAUUAGCGGGAUCUCUUGUGGACCGUCACUUGGUGUGAUAAUUAUCUAUGCCACGUUGACUUUGAAGCAAAAUUAUGGGAACCUGCUCAUAACCGUCUGCUCGUCGGACAACUUUUAUGACAUUUUGACCUCAAAUCAGGUAGGACUACCCGCUGAAUUUAAGCAUAUCAAUAAGCGGAGGCU